rnacentral:rRNA from 1 species
UACGAAGGGGGCUAGCGUUGUUCGGAUUUACUGGGCGUAAAGCGCACGUAGGCGGUCUUUUAAGUCGGGGGUGAAAUCCUGGAGCUCAACUCCAGAACUGCCUUCGAUACUGGAAGACUCGAGUCCGGGAGAGGUGAGUGGAACUGCGAGUGUAGAGGUGAAAUUCGUAGAUAUUCGCAAGAACACCAGUGGCGAAGGCGGCUCACUGGCCCGGUACUGACGCUGAGGUGCGAAAGCGUGGGGAGCAAACAGGG